rnacentral:misc_RNA from 1 species
UCACAGUUUGCACUGGCAGUCUUGUUAGAGUUCCCACCAUUAUGUGCUGGCAACUAACAACAGGGGUUGCGCUCGUUAUAGGACUUAACCUGACACCUCACGGCACGAGCUGACGACAACCAUGCAGCACCUUGUAAUCUGCCCGAAGGAAAAGCUGUUUCCAGCCCUGUCAGACUACAUUUAAGCCCUGGUAAGGUUCCUCGCGUAUCAUCGAAUUAAACCACAUGCUCCACCGCUUGUGCGGGCCCCCGUCAAUUCCUUUGAGUUUCAUUCUUGCGAACGUACUCCCCAGGUGGGUUACUUAUCACUUUCGCUUAACCACCCAGCCCUUAAUCGGGCCGGACAGCUAGUAACCAUCGUUUACGGCGUAGACUAC